GACGAACGCUGGCGGCGUGCUUAACACAUGCAAGUCGAACGGAAAGGCCCUGCUUUUGUGGGGUUCUCGAGUGGCGAACGGGUGAGUAACACGUGAGUAACCUGCCCUUGACUUUGUGAUAAAUUCAGGAAACUCGGGCUAAUACCCGAUAGGAGCUCCUGAUGCGUGGUGGGGGAUGGAAAGUUUCGGCGGUAUGGGCUGGACUCGCGGCUUAUCAGCUUGUUGGUGAGGUAGUGGCUUACGAAGGCUGUGACGGGUAGCCGGCAUGAGAGGGGGAACGGCGACAAGGGGACUGAGAGAGGGAGCAGACGCCAACGGGAGGCAGUGGGCGGGAACAUGGCAGAGCGGCGCGACGUGUGAGGUAGCGACGCUGGGUGCGGGAAGACGUGCUUCGAGGGAUAAACCGAUGUGGCCGGUGAUGAAGAGUGAGUGACGGUAAUGGGUAAAGAAGCCCCGGCUAACUACGUG
rnacentral:rRNA from 1 species